rnacentral:sRNA from 1 species
GCUGGGCACCAUGGCACAUGCCUGUAAUCCCAGCUACUUAGGAGGCUGAGGCAGGAGGAUCAUGAGUUCAAAGCCAGCUCAGUAAUAGGGAGGCGCUCAGCAACUCAGUGAGACCCUGUCUCUA